AGAACAGUAGCAUGUGUCCUGGACUGCCUGCUUGCCUGCCCUGCUAGACGUAACAAUGGAGGCGUUUGCAAAAAUCUAGUAGAUUUCCCAGAAUUCCCAGGUUUUCUAGAAAUCCCGGUUGGAGAAUUCCUGGAACUAUGAUGGAAUAAACAAAUAAUGAAUCCUCCAAACAGGAUUUUUGAAGAACCUGAGCAUUUUGGGUUAACAUGCCUCACUUCGCCCCCUGCUAACUCCUUGUGGAGGAGCACGACCAAUCAGUUUUCAGCACUACCUUACUGCUCUACUACAGCCUAGCCAACCAGCACUCACUCGCAGAAACAACCCAGGGAGUCUGUGGCGGGAGAGAGAAAGAGGAUGGUGAGAGAUCUAUCUGCUGCCUUCGACACCGUGAACCAUCAGAUCCUCCUCUGGGAUUCUGGGCUGGGAUUCUCAGGCUCUACACACUCCAGGAUUGCAUCCUACCUGGCAGGCCACUCCUACCAGGUGGUGUGGAGAGGAUCUGUGUCUGCACCACGUGCUCUCACAUCUGGUGUCCCCAGG